UACGAAGGGAGCUAGCGUUGUUCGGAAUCACUGGGCGUAAAGCGCAUGUAGGCGGCCAGGUAAGUUGGCUGUGAAAUCUCCCGGCUCAACUGGGAGAGGCCGGUCAAGACUGCCUGGCUGGAGGCUGGUAGAGGGAGGUGGAAUUCCCGGUGUAGUGGUGAAAUGCGUAGAUAUCGGGAGGAACACCAGUGGCGAAAGCGGCCUCCUGGACCAGACCUGACGCUCAGAUGCGAAAGCUAGGGGAGUGAACGGG
rnacentral:rRNA from 1 species